UACGAAGGGGGCUAGCGUUGCUCGGAAUUACUGGGCGUAAAGGGUGCGUAGGCGGUUCUUUAAGUCAGGUGUGAAAUCCUGGAGCUCAACUCCAGAACUGCCUUUGAUACUGAGGGUCUUGAGUUCGGGAGAGGUGAGUGGAACUGCGAGUGUAGAGGUGAAAUUCGUAGAUAUUCGCAAGAACACCAGUGGCGAAGGCGGCUCACUGGCCCGAUACUGACGCUGAGGCACGAAAGCGUGGGGAGCAAACAGG
rnacentral:rRNA from 1 species